AAUGAACGUUGGCGGCGUGCUUAACACAUGCAAGUCGAACGAGGUAGCAAUACCUAGCGGCGGACGGGUGAGUAACGCGUGGGAACGUGCCCCUUGGUACGGAAUAGCCCCGGGAAACUGGGAGUAAUACCGUAUGAGCUCUACGGAGGAAAGAUUUAUCGCCAAGGGAUUGGCCCGCGUCUGAUUAGCUAGUUGGUGAGGUAAAGGCUCACCAAGGCGACGAUCAGUAGCUGGUCUGAGAGGAUGAUCAGCCACAUUGGGACUGAGACACGGCCCAAACUCCUACGGGAGGCAGCAGUGGGGAAUCUUGCGCAAUGGGCGAAAGCCUGACGCAGCCAUGCCGCGUGAAUGAUGAAGGUCUUAGGAUUGUAAAAUUCUUUCACCGGGGACGAUAAUGACGGUACCCGGAGAAGAAGCCCCGGCUAACUUCGUGCCAGCCGCCGCGGUAA
rnacentral:rRNA from 1 species